rnacentral:sRNA from 1 species
GAAUACGAUGGGCUUGGUCCCAAUAAG